rnacentral:rRNA from 1 species
GACGAACGCUGGCGGCGUGCCUAAUACAUGCAAGUCGAGCGGAUCUUCAUUAGCUUGCUUUUGAAGAUCAGCGGCGGACGGGUGAGUAACACGUGGGCAACCUGCCUGUAAGACUGGGAUAACUUCGGGAAACCGGAGCUAAUACCGGAUAAUCCUUUUCCUCUCAUGAGGAAAAGCUGAAAGACGGUUUCGGCUGUCACUUCCAGAUGGGCCCGCGGCGCAUUAGCGAGUUGGUGGGGUAACGGAUCAACAAGGCGACGAUGCGUAGCCGACCUGAGAGGGUGGUCGGCCACACUGGGACUGAGACACGGCCCAGAAUCCUACGGGAGGCAGCAGUAGGGAAUCUUCCGCAAUGGACGAAAGUCUGACGGAGCAACGCCGCGUGAGCGAUGAAGGCCUUCGGGUCGUAAAGCUCUGUUGUCAGGGAAGAACAAGUACCGGAGUAACUGCCGGUACUUGACGGUACCUGACCAGAAAGCCACGGCUAACUACGUGCCAGCAGCCGCUGUAA